UACAAAGGAUUGCAGAGGCAACAAAGGACCUGGAGAAACUCACUGCUGAGUUAUCUCUACAGCAAGACACAGUCCAGCAGUGGGUGUCUGAUGUUCAGCAGUGGACCUCAGGAGAAACAAUCCAAAAUGACCUGUAGAGGACCAUCGAGGGGCUAUAUUUGGGCAUCAAACAGCGAACAUUUCAGCUGUAUCGUCAGUCUGGUGGGAAUAAGCGAAGGCAUCAACUGAGAAGAAAGAUUGCUGUUGAGAAGAAAGCCUUGGAAGUUGCCAUCAAUGACCACAAUGCUACUGUGGGGGAAGUUGAAAAACUGCCUCCUCCCAAUGAACUCCUGGCUGUGGACAACUACUCCUGGCCAUGG